rnacentral:rRNA from 1 species
ACCGACUAAUGUUGAAAAAUUAGCGGAUGACUUGUGGCUGGGGGUGAAAGGCCAAUCAAACCGGGAGAUAGCUGGUUCUCCCCGAAAGCUAUUUAGGUAGCGCCUCGUGAACUCAUCUUCGGGGGUAGAGCACUGUUUCGGCUAGGGGGCCAUCCCGGCUUACCAAACCGAUGCAAACUCCGAAUACCGAAGAAUGUUAUCACGGGAGACACACGGCGGGUGCUAACGUCCGUCGUGAAGAGGGAAACAACCCAGACCGCCAGCUAAGGUCCCAAAGUCAU